AUGAACGUCCUCAAUGAAAAUUCGCAUCCCAUUUAGAGAAUUCGGGAAGGUUCCCUGCAAGCUUCUGUGGGACCACUAGCACCAGUGGGCACAUCGAGAGCAAACACAUCGGAGACAAAUUUUUCUUUCUUUGUGAACUCUGCCUUAACUCAAAGGUAAAGUAUCCAAUCACCUCCAGACCCCAUUGUAAUUUCUUUUGGAUUUUUUUUUUUUUUUUGGAGGGGGGGCAAUUAGUGAGUUAGAACUGGGUGGCGGGUGGGAAACAAGUGGGGGAGGGCAGAGACUUCCUGGGAGGUGUAAAACAGGAUUCAAAUGCGGUGUAAAGUGUCGCUUGGGCAGAGCGGGAAAACUCAGGGGCCUCUAGAUCGGCUUGUUUCCUUUGAUGAUUUCAAAAAGGUACAACUCUCAAUUUUUCUAAAAUGCACUGGCAAGCAAACAUUGUUCAGUUUCCCCACCUUGCUCUCGGACAACUUUGGGACUCUAGGAUUAUUUUCUAAUCGGCGUGUUUGCCAUGAAGGAAGCGAUUUAAGACUAAGCAGAGAGCAAGUUUUAAAGCCCGAGAAAGUGGAGUUUAAAUGUUCUCAAUAGACAUAUCCCGCUCCAACUCUGCCCGCCGCGGCUUGGAAAUUACAGCGAACAAAACCCCCAGCCCUGCGCGCUGAGCGCAGCUCUGCAAGCGCCGGCUGCACGCUUAAUUGGUUGCAUCCGCAGACAAAACCCUCCACUCCGCAGGGUCCCGGGCGCCCCUCGAUCGUCCCCUACUCAACCCCCGGCCACUGGCCUUGGAGAAGAGCAUUUAAUGGCUGCAGCUCUGAGGCGCGAGAUCCAGGGGCAAAAGGGGGACCGGGCCCCUGACAAGGAAGCGACCCUGGCUACCCUGCACUCUCUUGGACACUCCUUUCAACGCGCCCUUAGCUGGGCGAGUUAACCCCGUCCUGCGGGGAACCAGGCUCCCCGUAGCCCCUGCCCCGGGCUCCCUCCGGCGGCCGCCGCAUAUUUAAAGAGCCCAAAAAGGACCAGGCA
ensembl:lncRNA RPSAP52 ribosomal protein SA pseudogene 52